GACGAACGCUGGCGGCGUGCUUAACACAUGCAAGUCGAACGGAGAAUUUAUUUCGGUAGAUUCUUAGUGGCGAACGGGUGAGUAACGCGUGGGCAAUCUGCCCUUCAGAUGGGGACAACAUCCCGAAAGGGGUGCUAAUACCGAAUACGAUCGUUUUCCCGCAUGGGAUUGCGAUGAAAGAUGGCCUCUAUUUAUAAGCUAUCGCUGAAGGAUGAGCCUGCGUCUGAUUAGCUAGUUGGUGGGGUAACGGCCUACCAAGGCGAUGAUCAGUAGCCGGUCUGAGAGGAUGAACGGCCACAUUGGGACUGAGACACGGCCCAAACUCCUACGGGAGGCAGCAGUGGGGAAUAUUCCGCAAUGGACGAAAGUCUGACGGAGCAACGCCGCGUGAGUGAUGAAGGUUUUCGGACUGUAAAGCUCUGUUGUUUAGGACGAAAGUGCCUGUUGCGAACAGUUACAGGUAUUGACGGUACUAAACGAGGAAGCCACGGCUAACUACGUGCCAGCAGCCGCGGUAAUACGUAGGUGGCAAGCGUUGUCCGGAAUUAUUGGGCGUAAAGAGCAUGUAGGCGGGAAUCUAAGUCUGUUGUGAAAAUGCGGGGCUCAACCCCGUAUUGCGAUGGAAACUGGGUUUCUUGAGUGCAGGAGAGGAAAGGGGAAUUCCCAGUGUAGCGGUGAAAUGCGUAGAUAUUGGGAGGAACACCAGUGGCGAAGGCGCCUUUCUGGACUGUGUCUGACGCUGAGAUGCGAAAGCCAGGGUAGCGAACGGGAUUAGAUACCCCGGUAGUCCUGGCCGUAAACGAUGGGUACUAGGUGUAGGGGGUA
rnacentral:rRNA from 1 species